GUUUCAUACUGGCCUCACCAUGGAAUUUUUGCUGCCAGUGAUUUCCAAACUACACUGCAGCUCAGAAUCACUUAGUGAGCUUUGCGGAAACACCAUGAAGCCAAUUCCCAGGCCUGCUUUUGAUCCAUUGAUAGGUAGCCCUCUUUGCUUCUAGAGAUGGGAAUGACAGGGUGCCCCUUGUACCAUUUUUAGUUAGUUUGUCAAAAGUGACAUCACAUUGGCCCUGCGGCAAGUCUAGACGAUGCCAUCCUGUUGGUUCUGUGACAGAACUGCAGCGGGUCUCACUGGACAGGGGCCUUACCUCCUCACCUCACCCAUCAGCUUUCAGUGGGGAGACAAUGAGAAUAAAGUGUGUUCAGAGGGGCGGUCAGUCGUUGUUCAGGGACCAUGGGUUCAGAGACCUCUUUGCUUCUGCUGCUGAGCCAUGAGUUCCCGUCGUGGCUCAGGGGUUAACGAAUCUGACCAGGAACCGUGAGGUUGCAGGUUCGAUCCCUGGCCUUGCUCGGUGAGUUAAGGAUCUGGCGUUGAGCUGUGGUGUAUGUCACAGAUGUGGCUUGGAUCCCCCGUUGCUGUGGCCUUGGCAUAGGCUGGCGGCUAUAGCUCCGAUUAGACCCCUAGCCUGGGAACCUCCAUGUGCCCUGGGUGUGGCCCUAGAAAAGACAAAAAAGACAAAAAACAAAAGCAAAAACAAAAAAACCCAAAAAGGAACCUCCUAUGGAUAAAUAAUUCAUUCUGGAUUUUUUUUGUUUUGUUUUGUUUUUGAUUUUUCGGGCCAAACCCAUGGUAUAUGGAAGUUUCCAGGCCAGGGGUUGAAUCGGCUGCCGGCCUGCAACACGGGAUCCAAGCCGAGUCUGUGACCCUACGUCACAGCUCAUGGGCAAUGCCGGAUCCCCGACCCACUGACCGAGGCCAGGGAUUGAACCUGCAUCCUCAUGGAUGCUAGUCGGAUUCCUUUCCGCUGUGCCACAACGGAAACUCCCAGUUCCUUCUGGUGGUGUUCUUAGAAAGUAUUCUCUGGUGCACAUCCCCUUCUCACCUGCCCUUGGUUUUGCAAAGGAAGAUGCAGAAAUGCUCAGAUUAACAGCGUGUUUCUGAACCACCAAGAAAGGGAACAAAACGGUGCCAAGGCUCCAGGCAGCCACUCUGUGUCAGCUGCUGAUCUGAGGGUAUUUUGCAGGUCAUCUCAUCCAAUGGGCAACUAGUCCUAUGAAGAAGUGCUGUCACCCCAUUUUGGAGAUGUGGAAACAGAGGCAUAGGUUCGUUCCCUUAAUAUGCCCGAGGCCGCCCAGAAUCCAUGCUUUCAAGCUUUAGCCUUUGGUUGUUAACAUCACAUCCUGUGCUGCUGGGGAGGGAACAGGCCGUAGUCUGGAGGUCUUCAGAGGCACCAAGAGCCUGAGUAACCACCACUCUUUCUUAAUAAGAAUAGAAGCUCAGGAGUUCCUGUUGUAGUGCAGUGGUUAACGAAUCCGACUAGGAACCAUGAGGUUGCGGGUUUGAUCCCUGACCUUGCUCAGUGGGUUAAGGAUCCAGUGUUGCCGUGAGCUGUGGUGUAGGUUGCUGAGGCGGCUUGGAUCCCGUGUUGCUGUGGCUCUGGCCUAGGCUGGUGGCUGCAGCUCCGAUUUGACUCCUAGCCUGGGAACCUCCAUAUGCUGCGGGAGUGGCCCUAGAAAAGGCAAAAAGG
rnacentral:lncRNA from 1 species